GCAUAGUGGAAGUCAGCAGCCUUACAAGCACAACAGAAACAAACAAAAAUCCUUCAAUGGGCUCCAUUAUGUUCAGGUUACAAAUGCUCUUUUUGUUCCCACAAAAGCUGUCUGAAUCAACUGUGAAAAAGCAAAACAAGAUAAGGCAGAGGGUACCAACAGGUACCUGGCACACUCUGUAGAGUCCAAAGUCACCCUUCAGCCAGAAGAAUGAGAAGUGUCCAUAUCCUGUUUGGAAGAGAUACGCAGCUACCAGGACACGGACAUGCAUGUACACAGGUAGAAGUACAACAUGAUAAGGCUCAUUUUGCAAAUGGCCAGUAAUGAUCCUUUUGGGCUGAAAUGACCCGCAGCAGUAGGGGGUUUCUUCUCCUCUCCACUCUCCACAUCAGGAAUGGGCCUGCUCUUAUGAUGUUUACUACAGC